UCCACCGUGGCGCAAUUGGCUAGCGCGUCCGGCUGUUAACAUAUUACGUGUUAACCGGGAGGUUGGAGGUUCGAGCCCUCCCGGUGGAG